UACGGAAGGGGGCUAGCGUUGCUCGGAUUUACUGGGCGUAAAGGCGCGUAGGCGGCCACUGCAAGUCGGUUGUGAAAUCUCCGGGCUUAACCCGGAAAGGUCAAUCGAUACUGCAGGGCUAGAGUGCAGAAGGGGCAACUGGAAUUCUCGGUGUAGCGGUGAAAUGCGUAGAUAUCGAGAGGAACACCUGCGGCGAAGGCGGGUUGCUGGGCUGACACUGACGCUGGAGGCGCGAAAGCUAGGGUAGCAAACGGG
rnacentral:rRNA from 1 species